GUCAGCCUGACUUCUCCCUUUCCUUCUGGCACUCUUAGAAAGUGGUGAGCCGAGUGGCCAGUCUUCCCUUGGUCUGCUCUACCUACAACGUGGUGUACAUGGCCUACUUUUCCACCAAAGAGGCACCCCUGCAUCAGAUCUGUGUGUGGUGUGGCAGAGAGAGGGGUGAAGACCAUGGCUGAAAUGGCAGUCUGCUGUUGACUCGAACCUCCUGAGUUGAUUCUGUGAAGCAGGGAGUUGAUCAUAAGCUUUCGGUGCAACUUUUCCUGGCCAUCCUAACGUUGGUGGAUUGGAGCAGGAAUCUUCCAGAAGGGAAUGUAGACCAGCUGUACAAAGCUUGAGAAGAUGGAAUCUUUGGCUCUUGUCAUGUCCCACAAGAUCACACAGCAGCUGCAGGAUACCUUUCUGAGCCUAGACUCCAUGAUCCAAGCUCUUCCCUCCAGCAUUCAGAACAAGAUGAAAUGGGCCUAUUGCAAUGUUGCAGAGCUUCAUGCUUCCUUCUCUGCUGCCAGGUCCUUCCAGGAUCUGUCCAGCAAUAUCCUGAUCCAGAGCCAAGGGAAGAUGGCCACGGCCCAAAAAUACAUGGACAAGCUGCUGGUAUAUCUGAAGCAUAACACCCACCUCUCUUGGCUUGUGUGACCAAUGGUCAAAGCUUCUGCUACCUUCCAGGAAGCUGACCAGGUGGAAGAGGAGUUGGGACUAGCCUGCAGAUAUCUCCAUGUAAGGACUUGAGUAACACAUCUGUUCAUCACUGCCACAUCCAUGUAAUGAGAAUGUCCUUGUGGCUUUAAUCACUCAACCACAUACCAUGUGUGGCUUGCACUGGAAAGGCAGCUCUGGGUGAUGAGACAACUCCUGCAAACUGUUGUGACUGACUUUGGCAAAGUGCCUAAACAUCACUGCAUUCAAAUAGCCAUGCUGGAGUAGCUUUCUGAGACCAGGGCUACUGUGGCCAUGGUGCACUUGCGUAUGAAGUACCUAAAGAGAAAAUCCAAAAGGAUGUAGUCUAACUAUUCUAGCAAGUUUAAAGAGGAAUUUAAUACUGGGGUAGAGACUGUACUUGGUGUAGUACUAAAUUGACUUAUCAGUUCCGCUUGCCCUCCUUCUAAGGUGUUAGCCAAGUAGCAAGGGAGUAAGCAGAGGCCUGUACUUUCAGCAGAAUACAACAGAAGACUUUUCCCCUAGAACACUGCUAUCCUGGAUAUGGUAGAAGCAGAAUUUAAACUGAAUUUGUAACCAUUAACUUUGCUGUUGGGGAUGUCCCAUCCCUCUGCUAGUCUUAAGCACUUGUUGAAAGACUUGUUCCCUUAGGGGAAGUAUUGUAGCUAGUAGCAGAAGGUCUAUGAUUCAGGUGUAAGAAUGAUACUGAUCAACGGAAAGUGGAUGUUUGUUUUUGUUUUCUUUCUGAUAUUUCUACUUCACAGGAUACAAACAUUU